CCUACGGGUGGCAGCAGUGAGGAAUAUUGGUCAAUGGACGCAAGUCUGAACCAGCCAAGUAGCGUGCAGGAUGACGGCCCUCCGGGUUGUAAACUGCUUUUAGUUGGGAAUAAAAGGGGGCUCGUGAGCCCCGUAUUGUAUGUACCAUCAGAAAAAGGACCGGCUAAUUCCGUGCCAGCAGCCGCGGUAACACGGAAGGUCCGGGCGUUAUCCGGAUUUAUUGGGUUUAAAGGGAGCGUAGGGCGGCUUUAAAGUCAUAUGUGAAAGUCCGCGGCUCAACCGUGGAAUUGAAGUUGAAACUGGAGGCCUUGAGUGCACACAGGGAUGCCGGAAUUGAGGGGGUAGCGGUGAAAUGUUUAGAUAUCAUGAAGAACUCCGAUCGCGAAGGCACGU
rnacentral:rRNA from 1 species